AAGUGGUACAGCUCUUUUAGAAUUUCCCUAGCUGGUUUUCUUGUUUUUACUGGAAAAUCCUC
ensembl:snRNA U7 U7 small nuclear RNA